rnacentral:rRNA from 1 species
AGAGUUUGAUCCUGGCUCAGGACGAACGCUGGCGGCGUGCUUAACACAUGCAAGUCGAGCGGAAAGGCCCUUCGGGGUACUCGAGCGGCGAACGGGUGAGUAACACGUGAGUAAUCUGCCCCUAGCUCUGGGAUAGCUCCGGGAAACCGGGAUUAAUACCGGAUACGACUCCUUCGGACAUCUGAAGGAGUGGAAAGAUUUAUCGGCUAGGGAUGAGCUCGCGGCCUAUCAGCUUGUUGGUGGGGUAACGGCCUACCAAGGCGACGACGGGUAGUCGGCCUGAGAGGGCGACCGGCCACACUGGGACUGAGACACGGCCCAGACUCCUACGGGAGGCAGCAGUGGGGAAUAUUGCGCAAUGGGCGAAAGCCUGACGCAGCGACGCCGUGUGGGGGAUGAAGGCCUUCGGGUUGUAAACCCCUUUCAGCAGGGACGAAGCGAAAGUGACGGUACCUGCAGAAGAAGCGCCGGCUAACUACGUGCCAGCAGCCGCGGUAACACGUAGGGCGCAAGCGUUGUCCGGAAUUAUUGGGCGUAAAGAGCUCGUAGGCGGUCUGUUGCGUCCGCUGUGAAAACUCGGGGCUUAACCCCGAGCCUGCAGUGGAUACGGGCAGACUAGAGGUAGGUAGGGGAGAAUGGAAUUCCCGGUGUAGCGGUGAAAUGCGCAGAUAUCGGGAGGAACACCGGUGGCGAAGGCGGUUCUCUGGGCCUUACCUGACGCUGA